GUAGUCUGCCAUACGCAGGAAGACCCGCUGAACUGAAGCAUCUCAUUAAGCGGAGGAAAAGAAACUAACUAGGAUUCCCUUAGUAAAGGCGAUCGAAAAGGGAACAGCCCAACGUCUUAAUCCCGCAAGGGAAAUGUAGUCGGUUCACCUAUUGCACUGGUCUAAGUCAGAUGGAAUGCUGCGCGAUUCAGAGUAAAAGCCUCGUAUGACCAACCGCAAGCUUACGAUGGACCGGGGAGAGUCGGAUACUUUGAGAGUAGUGUCUUAAGGGGGUGGUAUGUCCCAUCCAAGGCUAAAUAACGUGAGGAGACCGAUAGAUUACAAGUAGUGUGAACGAAAGAUGAAAAGAACUCUAAAACAGAGGGUGAAAAGUUCCUGAACUUGCUUAGGGUUAAGGCUAUUUAUAGUACCCGUCUUGAAACACGGAUUAGGGAGUUUAUCUGUAGUGCGAGUCUUUGCACGUUAACUGUAAAGGCGUAGAGAAAGCAACUGGCGUUUUGCAUGGCUACUGAGCAUUACUGAUAGGACCCGAAAGGUGGUGAACUUUGCCUGCACAGGUUGAAGUCAGGGGAAACUCUGAUGGAGGACCGUACGGGUUAUUGAUGUGCAAAUCAUUUUUCUGAUGUAGGUAAAGGUGCGAAAGACUCAUCGAACCACCUAAUAGCUGGUUUCCUCCGAAGUUUCCCUCAGGAUAGCUGUAAUGCAUUUAGUUAAGGGGAGUAGAGAUAUGGGUAGAGGUGCAGGGAGCCUUCGGGUUCUCAACUUAUUUCCAAACUUCGAACCUCCUUGUUAGGCAUUUACCUAACUGGAAAUGCUUAAAUGAAUUAGCGUUACAAGUGGGCUCUGACCGGUAAGCGGUCAUGGCGAAAUGGGAUGAACCAUACGUCUGAAUAAGGUGCCGAAAUGUACUAUCACUGAUACCAUAAAGGGAGUCCAUGUAUUUAGACAGCAGGUCGGUGCCCCUAAAAGCAGGUAUCCGCUAAAGAGUGUGUUAAAACUCACCUGCCGAAUACUAGGGCCCCGAAAAUGAAUGGCGCAUAUAGUACUACCGAUCUCAGACAUCAGUUCUAUUGAACUGAGAGUAGGGGGAUGUGGACAUUUUUGUGAAGGUGCAAUGUGAGUUGGACUGGAAGAAUGUCUAUUACAGAUCCUAAUUGAAGUAGCGAUUAUCCAGGCUUGUAUCCUGGGGGCUGAUGAGGAGUAGGGUUUCUGGACAACUUAAACAGAUCCAGAGUUAGUCGAUCCUAAUCUCAAUAAUGGGAGAAAGGGAGUACAGUUGAUAUUCUGUAACUGACAACAGUUCGCGGCAACGCAUACUAUUUUUCUCCGCCAAUCUUAUACCGUUGGUAGGGAUCUCUUUCCUACAUGACAGUACUAAUACCCAGGGAAACUGGUCAUCAGGCGAACUGCGG
rnacentral:ncRNA from 1 species